AACGCACCUUGCACCCUUUGGUAUUCCGAAGGGUACACCCGUUUGAGUGUCAUUGUAAUCUCACCUCGACCGCUUUAGUGUGGUCAGAAGUGGACUUGGGCCCUGUCGUGUCAUAACGACUGGCCUGAAAUGUGUGAGUGUACCCUGCCUCUGCAGCGUCUUCAGUGUGAUAAGCAUCUUCACUGGAAUCAAGCUCCUUCGGGACACGUGAGCAUGGUGGGCCCUAUGCUUCUAACCAUCUUCGGACACUUUGACAAUUUGACCUCAAAUCGGGUGGGACUACCCGCUGAACUUAA
rnacentral:misc_RNA from 1 species